GCAUUGGUGGUACAGUGGUAGAAUUCUUGUCUUGCAUACAGGAGACCUAGGUUUGAUUUCAGGCUAACGCG
rnacentral:tRNA from 1 species